CAUCUAGGAUGGUAGAGUGCUGGAAACCGAUAUUGUUGUUGUUGGUGUGGGUGCAAAACCACUAACGCAAUUGUUCAAAGGCCAGGUUGAAGAGGACAAAGGUGGCAUCAAGACAGAUGCUUUCUUCAAAACAAAGUGUACCCAAU